GUAAGGAAUAUUGGUCAAUGGACGCAAGUCUGAACCAGCCAUGCCGCGUGAAGGAUGACGGCCCUAUGGGUUGUAAACUUCUUUUGUACGGGAAUAAACCCAGGUACGUGUACCUGGCUGAAUGUACCGUAAGAAUAAGGAUCGGCUAACUCCGUGCCAGCAGCCGCGGUAAUACGGAGGAUCCAAGCGUUAUCCGGAUUCAUUGGGUUUAAAGGGUGCGUAGGCGGAUUUGUAAGUCAGUGGUGAAAGCCUGCAGCUUAACUGUAGAACUGCCAUUGAUACUGCAAGUCUUGAGUACACUUGACGUGGGCGGAAUGUGUCAUGUAGCGGUGAAAUGCUUAGAUAUGACACAGAACACCGAUAGCGAAGGCAGCUCACGAAAUUGUAACUGACGCUGAGGCACGACAGCGUGGGGAUCAAACAGGAUUAGAAACCCGAGUAGUCC
rnacentral:rRNA from 1 species